UAAAGGUCGAAAGGGGAGAUUCAGUAUCCAUUCCUCUGCGCCGCUCCCUGCCGUUGGGUAAAACCGGGGUGGUCCCUUCGGGGAUCGGCUCCGGGCCCGCGGCGGGGUCUCGCGCGCGCGAGGUGGAGCGCACUUCUCCCCGAGUAGGACGCCGCGACCCGCUGGGUGUCGGUCUGAGGCUCGGGUGCGAGUCCGUCUCGCGGUUCGCCGCGUGGCGGAGCCCCGGUGUCCCGACCGACCGCUCGGCGGUCGAACGUAAGGAAUUGGCCCGCGCUGCAUGGCGCGCCCGUGCCUCUUGCGAGCGUCCGGUCGAACUCGUCGCGCGGACUUGUCCGCCGCGGGCCGGCUGGCGCUGUCGGCUUGRGGACUUCUCGGRCAGMGGCCUCCUCCUGUUUGCGRCGCUCAAAACUGGGUGGCCCACCCGGCCCGUCUUGAAACACGGACCAAGGAGUCUAACAUGUGCGCGAGUCAUUGGGUCCCUMGAAACCCAAGGGCGUAUUGAACGAAAAGGCCGACCUUGCGUUGGACCAAGGGAGGAUGGGGCG
rnacentral:rRNA from 1 species